CCAGUUCCUCUUUUUUCUGGCACUCAUUCAUUGUGUCCAAAGAAUGACAGUCACACUUCCGUCACACCAUGGACACCGGAACUGAACACACCAGAGGGGAGGGACUUCCUGUGCUCUUCUUUCACCCCAGUUCGGAGAAACGGGCUUGGGAAGGUUUGUUUCUGUUCAGGUUCCAGAAGGGAACGUCAUGGGACUGAGGAAUUUGAGCCAUGGUGAUCUUGGAGCCUGGAUUACAGAACUUACGGCAGCUAAAGUGGAUCAUCAACUGGGAUCCUCAGUGGAGCAAGCAGAUGAUAAGAUCCUUGAGGCCAGACACCGACACAAUGUAUGGCAACAAAUUGAAUACAGAAGCAGAUAGGAGAAUCUAAUUGUUUUCUAUUAAGCUGGAUUAUUA